ACACUCUGAGUUCUCUUCAACUCGUAUAAAUCGUUCGCCUUUUACUAAAGGUUUCCGUGGAGAGGACUAGCAUGAGUUUUUAAUCAUUUAACCUGGCUCGUCGGAUUCUCGCUUUGGGUGCGAGAU
ensembl:snRNA U5 U5 spliceosomal RNA